CUAACACAUGCAAGUCCGAGCGGAAACGAUGGUAGCUUGCUACCAGGCGUCGAGCGGCGGACGGGUGAGUAACGCGUGAGAAUCUGCCCAUUUGUGGGGGAUAACUCGGGGAAACUCGAGCUAAUACCGCAUAAUCCCUACGGGGGAAAGCAGGGGACCUUCGGGCCUUGUGCAGAUGGAUGAGCUCGCGUCGGAUUAGCUUGUUGGUGAGGUAAAGGCUCACCAAGGCGACGAUCCGUAGCUGGUCUGAGAGGAUGAUCAGCCACACCGGGACUGAGACACGGCCCGGACUCCUACGGGAGGCAGCAGUGGGGAAUCUUGGACAAUGGGGGCAACCCUGAUCCAGCCAUGCCGCGUGUGUGAAGAAGGCCUUCGGGUUGUAAAGCACUUUCAGUAGGGAGGAAGGCUUACCGCUAAUAACGGUGAGUACUUGACGUUACCUACAGAAGAAGCACCGGCUAAUUUCGUGCCAGCAGCCGCGGUAAUACGAAAGGUGCGAGCGUUAAUCGGAAUUACUGGGCGUAAAGCGCGCGUAGGCGGUUUGUUAAGUCAGAUGUGAAAGCCCCGGGCUCAACCUGGGAAUUGCAUUUGAAACUGGCAGGCUAGAGUGCAGUAGAGGGAGGUGGAAUUUCCGGUGUAGCGGUGAAAUGCGUAGAGAUCGGAAGGAACACCAGUGGCGAAGGCGGCCUCCUGGACUGACACUGACGCUGAGGU
rnacentral:rRNA from 1 species